AGAGUUUGAUCAUGGCUCAGGACGAACGCUGGCGGCGUGCCUAAUGCAUGCAAGUCGAGCGGGCUACAGUCUUCGGAUUGUAGCUUAGCGGCGAACGGGUGAGUAACACGUAGGUAAUCUACCCUUCAGAGGAGGACAACCUCAGGAAACUGAGGCUAAACCUUCAUACGUUCACUGGUAGGGAUACUGGUGAAGAAAGAGUUACCGUUGAGGUGGCUGCUGAAGGAUGAGCCUGCGGCCCAUCAGGUAGUUGGUGAGGUAACGGCUCACCAAGCCGAAGACGGGUAACCGGUCUGAGAGGAUGUCCGGUCACACUGGGACUGAGACACGGCUCAGACUCCUACGGGAGGCAGCAGCAGGGAAUCUUGGGCAAUGGGCGAAAGCCUGACCCAGCGACGCCGCGUGGAGGAAGAAGUCCUUCGGGGCGUAAACUCCUGGACUGGGGGACGAGGAAGGACGGUACCCCAGUAGAAAGGGACGGCUAACUACGUGCCAGCAGCCGCGGUAAAACGUAGGUCCCGAGCGUUGUUCGGAUUCACUGGGUGUAAAGGGCGCGUAGGUGGUUGUCUGUGUCUCAUGUGAAAACUCAGGGCUCAACUCUGAGAUUGCGUGGGAAACUAGGCAGCUAGAGGACGGUAGAGGGGAGUGGAAUUCCCGGUGUAGCGGUAAAAUGCGUAGAUAUCGGGAGGAACACCGGUGGCGAAGGCGGCUCUCUGGGCCGAUCCUGACGCUGAGGCGCGAAAGCUAGGGGAGCGAACCGGAUUAGAUACCCGGGUAGUCCUAGCCGUAAACGAUGGGUGCUAGGUGUUGGGGGGGUAAAGACCCUUCAGUGCCGAAGCCAACGCGAUAAGCAUCCCACCUGGGGAGUACGGCCGCAAGGUUGAAACUCAAAUGAAUUGACGG
rnacentral:rRNA from 1 species